rnacentral:rRNA from 1 species
UACGUAGGGUGCAAGCGUUGUCCGGAAUUAUUGGGCGUAAAGAGCUUGUAGGCGGUUUGUCGCGUCUGCUGUGAAAUUUCGGGGCUCAACCCCCGAACUUGCAGUGGGUACGGGCAGACUAGAGUGUGGUAGGGGAGACUGGAAUUCCUGGUGUAGCGGUGAAAUGCGCAGAUAUCAGGAGGAACACCGGAGUGAAGGCGGGUCUCUGGGCCGAUACUGACGCUGAGGAGCGAAAGCGUGGGGGAGCGAACAGG